AGGAAAGUAAAUUAAAUGAAGAGAAGAGUAAGAAUGAACUUGUGCAUCUAGAGGAAGAAAAACAGGAACUGAAAGCGGAAUUGAAGGCACUCCAUGCUAAACUUGAAGAGCAGCAUCAACAAACUGAAGAACUUCAGGAGAAGCUUGAUGCAUGUAGUAAAACUUCACAGAAUGAAGCAACUAAAAAGGACAAGCAAGUGAAAGCUUUAGAGCUUAAGCUGGGCACUUUGAAAACAAAAUUGGACAACAAAACAAAGGCACAUGAUGACAUCCAGAAAGAGAAUAAAGGCCUUCUGAAGCAGAUCAGCGCAAGUAAAGAAGAAAAUACUCAGUUAGAAACAGAGAUUACUAAAUUGAAAGAGGAGUCGCAGAGGGUUCAGAGGUGUCAUGAGGAGGAACUUCAGAGAGUCAGCAGUGACCUUACUGCCAAAUCAGGCUCAGAGGCAGAGCUCCAAGA